rnacentral:lncRNA from 1 species
CAUUAGACUGACAAGUGGGGUUCGUUUUGCGGGGUUGAUGUGGCUUUCUGGUUAUUGGUGAAAAUCGGUCUACUAGCUGAAGCGAUAGGCGGCCAAACAAAAAGGUUUAUCGUGUAGGGGGGCAUCAAACGCGAUGAGGGGGAGAAGCCGAAGAAGAGGAUGCAAGACGCUGAUUAGGGCUAGUUGCUUAGUGUGCGAUUCCCGACGGUCGUCGUCGGUUAUUUUGGCUAUGUGCGGGUAUUUGAAGUCCAAAACUCUGUCGGUUUCUUACCCCCCCAUUUGGAUUUGGAUGUAAACCUCCAUUUUUUGACGGAGGAGGAUGAUGAUGUGAUGAACUUUCUUGUCAGCUGUUUCGCCAAACGAGAAUGUUGUACAACUCCUUGGUGUACUAUUUUACAGAUAUUUCCUCUCAUGCUGCGUUUUGUUGCUCC